GACGAACGCUGGCGGCGUGCUUAACACAUGCAAGUCGAACGAUGAAACCGCUUCGGUGGUGGAUUAGUGGCGAACGGGUGCGUAACACGUGGGCAAUCUGCCCUUCACUCUGGGACAAGACCUGGAAACGGGGCCUAAUACCGGAUAACACUCUGUCCCGCAUGGGACGGGGUUGAAAGCUCCGGCGGUGAAGGAUGAGCGCGCGGCCGAUCGGCUGGUUGGUGGGGUAAUGGCCGGCCAAGGCGACGACGGGUAGCCGGCCUGAGAGGGCGGCCGGGCACACUGGGACUGAGACACGGCCCAGACUCCUACGGGAGGCAGCAGUGGGGAAUAUUGCACAAUGGGCGAAAGCCUGAUGCAGCGACGCCGCGUGAGGGAUGACGGCCUUCGGGUUGUAAACCUCUUUCAGCAGGGAAGAAGCGAAAGUGACGGUACCUGCAGAAGAAGCGCCGGCUAACUACGUGCCAGCCGCCGCCGUAA
rnacentral:rRNA from 1 species